rnacentral:rRNA from 1 species
ACGGGGUGCAGCAGGCGCGAAACCUCCGCAAUGCGAGAAAAUCGCGACGGGGGGACCCCAAGUGCCACUCUUAACGGGGUGGCUUUUCUUAAGUGUAAAAAGCUUUUGGAAUAAGGGCUGGGCAAGACCGGUGCCAGCCGCCGCGGUAACACCGGCAGCUCUAGUGGUAGCCAUUUUUAUUGGGCCUAAAGCGUUCGUAGCCGGUUUGAUAAGUCUCUGGUGAAAUCCUGUAGCUUAACUGUGGGAAUUGCUGGAGAUACUAUUAGACUUGAGGUCGGGAGAGGUUAGCGGUACUCCCAGGGUAGGGGUGAAAUCCUGUAAUCCUGGGAGGACCACCUGUGGCGAAGGCGGCUAACUGGAACGAACCUGACGGUGAGGGACGAAAGCCAGGGGCGCGAACCGGAUUAGAUACCCGGGUAGUCCUGGCCGUAAACGAUGAUUGCUAGGUGUGGGGGGACUGACCCCUUCCGUGCCGGAGUAAACACAAUAAGCAAUCCACCUGGGGAGUACGACUGCAAGGUUGAAACUCAAAGGAAUUGGCGGGGGAGCAC